AAAACUUUCAACAACGGAUCUCUUGGUUCUGGCAUCGAUGAAGAACGCAGCGAAAUGCGAUAUGUAAUGUGAAUUGCAGAAUUCAGUGAAUCAUCGAAUCUUUGAACGCACAUUGCGCCCCUUGGUAUUCCGAGGGGCAUGCCUGUUCGAGCGUCAUU
rnacentral:rRNA from 1 species